CCCGGGAGGGGAGUGAAAUAGAACCUGAAACCGCAUGCAUACAAACAGUGGGAGCCCCGUUCGGGGGUGACUGCGUACCUUUUGUAUAAUGGGUCAGCGACUUACGUUCAGUAGCGAGCUUAACCGAAUAGGGGAGGCGUAGGGAAACCGAGUCUGAUAAGGGCGAUUAGUUGCUGGGCGUAGACCCGAAACCGGAUGAUCUAUCCAUGGCCAGGAUGAAGGUGCCGUAACAGGUACUGGAGGUCCGAACCCACUAAUGUUGAAAAAUUAGGGGAUGAGCUGUGGAUAGGGGUGAAAGGCUAAACAAAUCCGGAAAUAGCUGGUUCUCUCCGAAAACUAUUUAGGUAGUGCCUCAAGUAUCACCCACGGGGGUAAAGCACUGUAAUGGUUGAAGGGGUCAUCGCGACUUACUUCGCCAUAGCAAACUCUGAAUACCGUGGAGUGCGAGCUUGGGAGACAGACAUCGGGUGCUAACGUCCGGUGUCAAGAGGGAAACAACCCAGACCGCCGAUUAAGGUCCCAAAGACAUAGUUAAGUG
rnacentral:rRNA from 1 species